UACGUAGGGAGCGAGCGUUGUCCGGAUUUAUUGGGCGUAAAGCGCGCGUAGGCGGUUUGAUAAGCCGGGUGUGAAACCUCCAAGCUCAACUUGGAGCGGCCACUCGGAACUGUCAUGACUUGAGUCAGGUAGAGGAACACGGAAUUCCAGGUGUAGCGGUGAAAUGCUUAGAUAUCUGGAGGAACACCAGUGGCGAAGGCGGUGUUCUGGGCCUGGACUGACGCUGAUGCGCGAAAGCCAGGGGAGCAAACGGG
rnacentral:rRNA from 1 species